rnacentral:misc_RNA from 1 species
AAAGUCGUAACAAGGUUUCCGUAGGUGAACCUGCGGAAGGAUCAUUACCGUGGGGCUUCGGCCCCAUUGAGAUAGCACCCUUUGUUUAUGAGUACCCUUGUUUCCUCGGUGGGCUUGCCCACCAUGAGGACAAUAAAAACCCUUUGUAGUAGUAGUAACUUCAGUUAAUAAUAAAUAUUAAAACUUUCAACAACGGAUCUCUUGGUUCUG